AAGGGGUGGUUAAACCAACAAGAACUGCUAAUUCUUGCAUCUGAGCCUAAACCCUCAGCCCCCUUG
rnacentral:tRNA from 2 species